UCUGUUGGCUGCCUGCAUGGUGGGCCUAGC
rnacentral:piRNA from 1 species